rnacentral:misc_RNA from 1 species
AUUUUAUUUUAUUUUUAUUUUUUUAAUAUUGGCUAGGUUUUCAUUGGAUGAAAGAGGGUAGGCUCUUUUAAUUUGUGUGGAUGGGGCUAUAUGCUAUAUUUAGACAUUUCAGUUGUGAAAGGAACCUAGACAUCUCCCCUUUGGGGUUUUGUUUUUAUGUUUUCUCGUCCAAGUUGACAAAUGCUAUGCUAUGGAGAGAAGAUCAGAAGAGGUCCCAAGAAUAACCAACUUGCUUGUGUAGAAAAACUCAUAUUUUGUGGGCUUCCACAAGUGGGAAAAUUUUGACUAUUAAUUUGUUAAAACAGUUGGGAUAUGGUUGUGUUGUUAUGUACAGCUAUGUUUUCCAUUAGAUUGGAUGACUGGCUGGUGGUGGCAUAUAUGUUGGCUCAAUCAAACUACAAGCCAUCCUCUAUCUUUUCUUUAAAGCUUGCAAAAAAA